rnacentral:miRNA from 1 species
AGUUGGUGGACGGCUUGAGGCGA